UACGUAGGGUGCGAGCGUUGUCCGGAAUUAUUGGGCGUAAAGAGCUCGUAGGCGGUCUGUCGCGUCGGUCGUGAAAACUUGGGGCUUAACCCUGAGCUUGCGGUCGAUACGGGCAUGACUGGAGUUCGGCAGGGGAGACUGGAAUUCCUGGUGUAGCGGUGAAAUGCGCAGAUAUCAGGAGGAACACCGGUGGCGAAGGCGGUUCUCUGGGCCUUACCUGACGCUGAGGAGCGAAAGCGUGGGGAGCGAACAGG
rnacentral:rRNA from 1 species